GAAAAGAGGUCGGGCGGCCUCCUGCGGCCGCUAGAACCUUCCCCCAGAGCCCAAGUCGCGAAUGGGGCGAGGAGGAGGAGGAGGAGGAGGAGGAAGGUCAGGCGCUCGUUGGGUCCCCAGCUCCAGCCCGCCAGCGCCACUCCCCCUUCGCAGCUCGCGCUCGCUGGCUCCGGACAGCCUCGAAGUCUUCAGCAAGCUCCUCCUCGCGCCCUGAGGACGGUCCCGAGGGCUGGGAGGAGGCCUCCGGGGCGUGCGCUCAGGGGCGUCCGUCGCGCGACCCGCGCUGCGAGAGGGACUUCCUCGGCUCGGCUCCGAAGUCGGGCGCCCCGGCUGCGCCCGGGCUGCGCCGUCCUCGCGUCCCGGCCCCUGAAGCCGCGCGUCUGGCCCCGGCCCGGCGGUCGCGCCCACCCCUCCGAGCGGCUCGGCGCAAGGGGGUCGCCAAGCUCCAGGCGCCCGCGGGGUGCUAGCCUUGCCACCGAGUGGGGACACGGACGGCGCUGUGCCCGGGGCCUCCCAAGGGCCGAGUGGCUCCGCCGGCGGAGGACUGCUGGCUGCGCUCGGGGAGCGAAGAGAGAGCCCCGGGGCGAGCGCCCAAGCCCCGCCGAGAAGGGCUCGGGGUACGGGCAGCCCAGCCGCGGGCCCAGGGCCGGAGCGGAGCUGUCCCCGCACGCUCGCGCGGGAGGCCGGGGGAAGCGGGCGGGAGGGAAGCCAGGGCUGGGCUGGGGCGGAGCCAGGAGCGGGAGAGAGCAGAACGUGGAGAUUUCCAGGCGCCAAACCUGGGAGCCGCGCAGGAGAGCGCAGCUCGCCGGUGAUACCGGGUUUCCCGGGGAGAAAGCCGGGAGGACGGAAGUUCGGACCUUCUCCCUGUCUCCCAUCCCCCACCCAGCUCGAGGGGGCGCCAGCUCCACUCACGUUUCUGGAAAGGAAAGGAAGUGUCAGAUUGCACCCCACCCACUGGUGUCAGAUGGGCAGCCCGGGACGGUUGCUCUGAAGUUGGGAGUUAAAUCUCCCGUCUUCCUAUUGCUGCCCCCUACUCCUUUCCCCCCUCCUUUUCUUAUAGGACAGAGAUUCAGUUCAAAAGCAGUGGCCGCAAAUGAAUGGGCUGGACACGGGGACCCACUGAGGAGGUGGGGACAGUCCUGGCCCAGUAAGGGUCAUGUGCGAAUGCACUGGAGGAGGAGGGGUGAGUGGGGCUGGGCAGGAGGCAGGCGCCCACAGCAGCGUCAGCCCGGGGCCGGUGGAGAUUGGCGCUCACCAGGGCUAGGUCUCCGGGUCUGGGCUCCGGGACGCCCCUGGGCGAAGCGCGCCGCGGCCACAUUCCUGAGAAGCUGGAGAACGCAGGCGACGUCCACGUGCCCCGCUCGGACGAGCCUGCAAGCGGCUUCUCCCGCUACCGUCCGACCCCUGGAAUCUAAAAAGCGCAAAGCCUCCCCGGCCUGUCGGCGGGCUUUGUGA
rnacentral:lncRNA from 1 species